UACACUCCUGCGGGAGGCAGCAGUGGGGAAUAUUGCACAAUGGGCGCAAGCCUGAUGCAGCCAUGCCGCGUGUGUGAAGAAGGCCUUCGGGUUGUAAAGCACUUUCAGCGGGGAGGAAGGCGAUACGGUUAAUAACCGUGUUGAUUGACGUUACCCGCAGAAGAAGCACCGGCUAACUCCGUGCCAGCAGCCGCGGUAAUACGGAGGGUGCAAGCGUUAAUCGGAAUUACUGGGCGUAAAGCGCACGCAGGCGGUCUGUCAAGUCGGAUGUGAAAUCCCCGGGCUCAACCUGGGAACUGCAUUCGAAACUGGCAGGCUGGAGUCUUGUAGAGGGGGGUAGAAUUCCAGGUGUAGCGGUGAAAUGCGUAGAGAUCUGGAGGAAUACCGGUGGCGAAGGCGGCCCCCUGGACAAAGACUGACGCUCAGGUGCGAAAGCGUGGGGAGCAAACAGGAUUAGAAACCCUGGUAGUCCC
rnacentral:rRNA from 1 species